rnacentral:rRNA from 1 species
CCAGAGAACUUUCCAGAGAUGGAUUGGUGCCUUCGGGAACUCUGAGACAGGUGCUGCAUGGCUGUCGUCAGCUCGUGUUGUGAAAUGUUGGGUUAAGUCCCGCAACGAGCGCAACCCUUUAUCCUUUGUUGCCAGCGGUCCGGCCGGGAACUCAAAGGAGACUGCCAGUGAUAAACUGGAGGAAGGUGGGGAUGACGUCAAGUCAUCAUGGCCCUUACGAGUAGGGCUACACACGUGCUACAAUGGCGCAUACAAAGAGAAGCGACCUCGCGAGAGCAAGCGGACCUCAUAAAGUGCGUCGUAGUCCGGAUUGGAGUCUGCAACUCGACUCCAUGAAGUCGGAAUCGCUAGUAAUCGUGGAUCAGAAUGCCACGGUGAAUACGUUCCCGGGCCUUGUACACACCGCCCGUCACACCAUGGGAGUGGGUUGCAAAAGAAGUAGGUAGCUUAACCUUCGGGAGGGCGCUUACCACUUUGUGAUUCAUGACUGGGGUGAAGUCGUAACAAGGUAGGCGUAGUGCU